rnacentral:rRNA from 1 species
GACGAAGGGGGCUAGCGUUGUUCGGAAUUACUGGGCGUAAAGCGAGUGUAGGUGGUUGUCAUAGUCAGGUGUGAAAGCCUUGAGCUCAACUCAAGAAAUGCACUUGAUACUGGGCGACCAGAGGACCGGAGAGGAUAGUGGAAUUCCCAGUGUAGUGGUGAAAUACGUAGAGAUUGGGAAGAACACCAGUGGCGAAGGCGGCUAUCUGGACGGUUUCUGACACUAAGACUCGAAAGCGUGGGGAGCAAACAGG